rnacentral:lncRNA from 1 species
GGACCCACUUCGGCCUGUAUGGACUGAUAGCACAGAGACGCCAACGUCAGUCUGUACCAACUGACAGCACAAAGACCCACAUUGAUGUGUAUGGACUGACAGCACAGAGACGCCAACGUCAGUCUGUAUGGACUGACAGCACAAAGACCCACAUCGGUGUGUAUGGACUGAGAGCACAGAGACAGCAACAUCAGUCUGUAUUGACUAACGUAACACCAUGGUAACACCAACAUCAGUCUGUAUGGACUGACAGCACAGAGACCCACAUCGGUGUGUAUGGAAUGACAGCACAGAGACAGCAACGUCAGUCUGUAUGGACUGACAUAACACCGUGGUAACACCGACAUCGGUCUGUAUGGAUUGACAGCACAGAGAUCAACAUUGCUCUGUAUGGACUGACAUAACAGCAUAACACCAACAUUGGAGUGUAUGGACUGACAGCACAGAGACACCGAUGUCAGUCUGUAUGGACUGAUAGCACAGAGAUCAACAGUGGUCUGUAUGGACUGACAUAACAGCAUGAUAACACCAACAUUGCUCUGUAUGGACUGACAGCACAGGACCCACUUCAGUGUGUAUGGACUGACUGCACAGAGACCAACAUUGGUCUGUAUGGACUGAUAGCACAGAGAUCAACAUUGCUCUGUAUGGACUGACAUAACAGCAUAACACCAACAUUGGAGUGUAUGGACUGACUGCACAGGGACCCACAUCGGCCUGUAUGGACUGACAGCACAGAGACCAACAUUGCUCUGUAUGGACUGACUGCACAGAGACAGCAACAUCGGUUUAUAUAGACUGACUGCACAGAGACCCACAUCGGUGUGUACAGACUGAUAGCACAGAGACACCAACGUCAGUCUGUAUUGGUGUGUAUGGACUGACAGCACAGAGACCCACAUUGGUGUGUAUGGACUGACAUAACAGUGUGAUAACACCAAUGUCAGUCUGUACCCACUGAUAUAACAUCAUAACACCAACAUCAGUGUGUAUGGACUGCUAUAAUGCUGUGAUAACACCAAUGUCAGUCUGUGCCCAUUGAUAUAACACCGUGAUAACACCAACAUCAGUGUGUAUGGACUGAUAUAACACCGUGAUACCACCAACGUCAGUCUGUAUGGACUGACAGCACAGAGACACCGACGUUGGUCUGUAAGGACUGACGUAACAGCAUGAAAGCACCAACAUCA